GGAGGCUGCCUUGGAAGCACAUGGGGCCCAGAGGCUCCACCCUGACCUUCAGCCCUAGAUUUUAAAAUAAUUGGCCCAGUGAAGUCUGUACUUGGCUGCCUUUUUGGUGCCGGGCCGGGGCACCACCAGCUAAAGGUCUCCCACUCUGCCAGAAAGGGCACCUGGGACCGCAACCGCUCGGAGGCCGCGGGAGGGCCAGGAAGGGUCACCUCGUUGUACCAAGGGUCCUGUAAUCCAGCCCCCACCCCGGACUCUGCAAGCCGAAGAUGCCAUGUUGAGUGUCCCGUGCUAAAGCUCCCCUGCUCCCUUUGUCCACUUCCUCCCGGGCCUCUGUGCAAACAUCUCCGCAUGCGAGGCUGGGGUGUCCCCAGCUCGGGUGUCAGCCCUUGAGGACCCGCUUCCCUCCGGGCCCCCUCCUGUAGCUCCCACCUCCCAGAGCUCAAACCAGCUCCUCUCAGGCUGCCUCCUGCGGCUCGCCCGCACCUUCCUGGGACCACUUCUGGGUCUUUCCCAGAGCUCCUUUCCAAAGCAAGCGGAUGAUGCCCAACGGGCUGAUUUGGCCCCAAAUCCUAUUCAGACUUGUUUUCCCCAGUGAUUCCACAAGUGAUCUAAAAGUUGCCUGGAAUGGGAUCUUUGGAGCCUGCCCUGGGGCCAGAGUAGUUCAGGGGAGUUUGGAUUCAGAGGACACCCCAAUACUCCCCUUGUUCUUGCAGCUACCACCUUGGGGCAGGGCCUGGGUGAAACCCAGAUGCAGAAGGAACUGCAGGGCUGCCCCCAUUCCAUCAUCAGGCCCUCCAAGGAGGCCAGGGAGGUGUUGGGCUGUGAAAUGCCAGUAUUCAAAUUGGUGAGCCCCUGAGGCAGUGCAGGACCCCAAGCAAGGGCCCACCAGCUGCCCAGGGGGCAGGUGCAAAGGGGAGCUUCCAAAAUCAGAGAGGCCGAAGCUGGCUUAGAAACCAUGGGCGCCACAUAAGCUCACCUGUGAGAAUUUAAGGGCACUCACCGCUGGACUCCUCCCUGCCAUCCUGUCCAACACCAGAAAGCAAGAUCUCAUCUCCGCCUCAAGGGCCCUUCUGAGCAACCAAAGUGAAGUCUCCCCCCCCAAAAAAGAGAUUCCCCCUAAUUCCAAACACUCAAAGUCAGAAAUCUCUUUCUCCAGGCCCUGAACACAGGCUCAGGUUCAUUCGAUAGCAAAGAGUGAAAUCCCGAUAACCAGAAAAAAUCCUCUACAAAAAAGAGCCUCCUCUGAGUGCCAGAGGCCCUUGGGCCUGGCAGGAGCCGUGCCUGGGGGAGAGCCAGGAGAGGCGGCAAAGCCAGAGGCCAUUUUCCCCGACGUCCAGCUCCACACCAGGCUCUCUGGGGCGAGCUCUCAUGACCUUUUCCUGCCUACACCCUCCGAGUGUCCGGAAGCUGAGCCCCCUGCCCCCAGAGAAGAGGCCCAGGGUCAGCUCGGCUCUUCCAGGGCCUGGCGUCCUUCUGAGAGAGCAGGAAGCGGGAGUUCCUUCCGCCUGUAACCCCCCCUCGUAAACCCGCACGGCCCCCGGAGCAGGAUCCAGCGUGCAUCCAGCUUGGUUUUACGGUGACACGGUUUCCCUUUUAGAGUCAAUGCUGA
rnacentral:lncRNA from 1 species